UACGUAGGGGGCAAGCGUUGUCCGGAUUUAUUGGGCGUAAAGAGCGUGUAGGCGGCCUGAAAGGUCAGCUGUGAAAACUCGAGGCUCAACCUCGAGACGUCGGUUGAAACCAUCUGGCUAGAGUCCGGAAGAGGAGUGUGGAAUUCCCGGUGUAGCGGUGAAAUGCGCAGAUAUCGGGAAGAACACCCGUGGCGAAGGCGGCACUCUGGGACGGUACUGACGCUGAGACGCGAAAAGCGUGGGGAGCGAACGGG
rnacentral:rRNA from 1 species